rnacentral:rRNA from 1 species
UACGAAGGGGGCUAGCGUUGCUCGGAAUCACUGGGCGUAAAGCGCACGUAGGCGGAUCUUUAAGUCAGGGGUGAAAUCCCAAGGCUCAACCUUGGAACUGCCUUUGAUACUGGGGAUCUCGAGUCCGGAAGAGGUGAGUGGAACUGCGAGUGUUGAGGUGAAAUUCGUAGAUAUUCGCAAGAACACCAGUGGCGAAGGCGGCUCACUGGUCCGGUACUGACGCUGAGGUGCGAAAGCGUGGGGAGCAAACAGG